GUUUUGUGACAAGGAUCCGGGACAACUGGUGUGUCCUGGAUUCUCUGGGAGAGGGUUGUAGGAGAAGGUCGGAAAACAGCUGUGGGAGAUGUGAGGAACCACCAGACGAACUUGAUUCACACCAUAAAUCUUUAUCCCAGGAUCACAAGCCACUGGUUUCAUCAUUCAGCGACCUAUAAAUCAGAUGGAUGUGGAAACAGAGAGGAGGAGGGCUUUCCAUCUCCAGCUGAGGAAAGGGUGUCACCUGCCUUGAGGAUGCAUCUUCUCAUCUGGUCCUCAUGCCCUGACUUACUCUGGCCGGUGUUCCAGUGAUGGACAAGUUCCUUAAGCCUGAGCCUCAGAUUGCCAGGCUCCUCGAUGCAGGACCUUUAAGACAUGCCCCAGAAUGUCCAAGCAUCACCCCACUAGAGGGAGUGGCCAACAGACGCCUGUGCACUAUCACCCAGCUUUUUUUGGUCAAAAGUGAACUGGUGGCCGAUCUCAUUAUUUUAUGUAUUCCCAGACAAAUACUUCUAACACUGGUGUUCUUAAAGCUGAUUCUAUUCAGCAAUGGUAUGCUGGAGUGAAUCCAUCACAGGAAGAAUUCUCAAAGAGCUUCUGCCUUUAAGCAAGGUUGUUGCAGAUGGAGGCAGAGGAGCACAGAAAGAAUGGAUAUCGGUAAAUCAGGAUUUUAAUUAAUUGCCUCAUAAGAAGGACUUCCAAGCAAUGUCGUGGGGUUGAGUCAGAACUUGAUGGAAAAAUAAGAUGGAGAAAUACAGCUGACUCUGCAAAAAUGGAACGUGAUCUGAAAAAGAAAAGAGAAAACAUGAGGGGGAGCACAAACUGAAAAAGGACAGAGCGACCAAGGUAUGCCUGGUCACAGAUAACGUUGCUCUUGUUCAGCUGCUCAGUCAUGUCUGACUCUCUGUGA
rnacentral:lncRNA from 1 species